rnacentral:ribozyme from 16 species
UUUUUUUUUUUUUUUUUUUUCUUUUUUUUUUUUUUUUUUUUUUUUAAAAGGUAAUGGACAGGGACUAAUUUAAAGUGAUGAAAAUGAGAG